CCGGGCUACCGGGCGCCGCACGAUUUUCUGGCCUGAGGGCUGGACAGUUUUCCCCGCCUAGGACCUGGGAGGCCUUGCCCCCUGCCCUGGGGCUGACCGGGCGGGGAGCCUCAGGAGCAGGGGCAUUUUCUUUUGAAGGUUGGAAAAUCUCUGCAAUUUUCGUCAAAGGACUAUGGAAAAGCCAAACGCAAGGAUGGGAGUAGGCACCAGGGCAGGGCAGGGACGCUCUCCCUUGUUCCCUUCCAGAUCCUCGGUGCUUGAUUGUAAUUCCAGAAAGAGAGAUCAAGGGAGGUUCCCAGGAGAGAGCAACUACCUAGCUUGAGAAGAUGAGAAGCUUCGGGGGCAGAGAGAAUUGCUUGGAGCAGAGACUGAGGACCCCCAACGGGAGAUGCACGCAGAGUGAGGAAAAAAAUCUUACAGUUGGUGUGACGUUAGAGCCAGUUGUGGCAAGGGGAGACGCCUUGAGUGGAGUCGCCACAGCUCAAAUCAGCAUAUUUAGGAUUCAGAAUGGGAAACGAGAAGCCUGUGGUGAUGCUGAAAACUGUGGCAGGGCAGGACCUGUCUCCAUUUGCAAGUGGAAUAGGGGAGACUGACAGCCACUCAUGCGUCCAUUUAUUGAAUAAUGUAAUAGAUUCACCCUGAACAGCGACGCUGCAGGUGGCGCGGAAGAAGGCUCCUGCCCUGUCCGUCACCGACACAGGAAAAAAGAGUUCCGGAGACUUCGAGUUCCAGUGGACCCUGUGGGCUCCAGGUCCACCUGGACUCUAGGGAUUAAGUCUCCGAACUUUAGGAGUGAGCAAGUCCGCGCCUUUGAGCUGCUAAGGAGAAACUGAGAAAUAAUCUGGAGGUCUCCCUCCCUUACCCGCCUACAUCCAUCCCAGGAGAGCAAGUUCCUCCUUGGUCUUGAGCUUUCACGAGGGAGGCAAAGAGUACAGUCCUUGCUAUUUAAGUCUUGUUUGCUCUUCAGAAGGUAGCCCAUCUCCGCAGGCCCUGGUCAUACAGAACAGAACGUCUGCCAAGUCCAGAUUCGGCUGCCCUCUCCACCCUAACGACUUCUCAGGAAAAUUGCAGGGGAAACGGGCUGGUAAUCGGGCCCUUGUCUUGUUCUACAUGGCUUUUUAGUCCAAACUUUGGGUAUUUUAAGACGCGAAUGAAACCAUGCCCCCUCCGCCUUAUUUUGAAACACUGUGCUUAAGAAAAAUUAAAAGAAAAAAAAAUUCUUCUAAUAAAGUUGGUAGACGUUUUGUGCGAGUGGGAGGGACAGUUGCCUCCUUAGCGCAGUAGGCAGCGCGUCAGUCUCAUAAUCUGAAGGUCCUGAGUUCGAACCUCAGAGGGGGCAACGAGGAUUUUUUUCUUCUUUCAUCUUUGCAGAAAAUUUAAAAAGAAAAAAAUCGAGUCAAUUGUUUGAUGAAACUGAACGGGUGACUUUCUGUCUACCCUUAUCCGUGUAAUAUUCUGAUACAAAGUAGUAAUUUUCAGUAAGAUUAAAUAUUCCUAAAUUCUUCAGAUUUUUUUUACACCAAUUGUAGAUAGAGCUAGAUUUUUAAAAAAUGACUUUCAGAUAUGUUUGGCAAUUGUCUUUGUCACAUAAAUAUCAAGGUCAAAAACUUACUGUUUGAGAGAGAGGAGGGGAUGGAGAGUUAUCCUGGGGAUGUGGAAGGUAUAGUAGGAUGUGCAAAACAUUUUUAUUAAUUAAUGAUUAUCUUUUGUCAUUAUCCUGGAAUUAUUGCUUACUACCAGAUCACCAAAGACGUCCUACCUGAAAAAGAAAAAAAAGUUCGUGUCCCCUCCUCCCCGUGGCACCAAGCCGCCCCCCCCUCCGCCCCGCGCACCCCCCCUUCCGGCUCCGGCGCUCCGCUUUGAUUUGGACCUCUUUUCCUGCUUCAGGGCAUUUGACUGGAUCUACAAGUCAUCCAAAUUUCAAGAUGGGGAAAGAGCAACAAGAGAAACAGGAAAUGAAGAAAUAGGAAGUGGUAUUUUGAGAGUUGGGAUAAGCAUUUGACUGAAAUAAAAAUAAGCAAGAUUGAUAUUUAACAUCCAGCUCUUAACAUCUCAGCUUGUUGAAUGGGAGGUAAUGAAUGGGUAUUUAUUAAGCACCUACUGUGUGUCAAGCCAUGCUUAAAGUUAUGUCCCUCACUAUUAAUCUAUUCUCUCUCAGCUUCAAAUUCAACCUCGAAUACUCUCUUUUGCGAUGAUGGGGUUGGCCAUCUGCAGACUACCUUCCCAAACUUUAAGGGUCUAUCAAUAAGAGGAACCAGAAGGAGACAGGAAGGUGGGAGAAGAGAAGAGGAAAUGUUUUCUGAAUUUUGCUAUUCCACUCAGGGUCACUCCAACAAUGGCCGUUGAUCCCAACCAUCAUUCUCCUUCUGUUCUUUUUCAGAGGUCCCAACCCCUUUCCCUUUUUCCCCCUCAGCCCUAGAAGGUGGCACCUACUUUCCAUAGUUAUUAUCUCUGGGUUAUCACAGUGUUCCCAGUUGAAAUAUCUAGUGUUAUUUCUUACCUGGACCUUGACUGAUACGUGAGGGCUGGGGGAUACUGCACUGUACACAGCAAAAAAAUGCUCCUACCUCAUGGAGUUGACUAGGUUUUAGUGGGACAUGACAGAGAUUGCAAAUCUGGAUUUUCAACAGCGCUCUAGGAGAUCUGAUCUAAAUGCAAUAAUCUGAACAAAAUUUUGGACUCCCUCUGCAUAUAUGCAGUUCUCUCAUGUUGACUAUUGUGAGACUCCCAAGAGUCUCCUUUUUUUGUCUGAUCACUUGGGGUUUGCUUACUGUGCAGAACUGGUGGCAAUAUCAAGAGCAGAGCAAACACACCAGGCUUUCCAGAGAACUCUCGAUUCAAAGUGCCCUUUCCUAGUCUGCUCUUCCCAGUAAAGAGCUUAUUAGAACAAUGAGCUACUGAGAGUAAUGAACUACUUUGAAAUCAGGAAGAGUCUGGGCCCAAGUCUUCUACUUCUUUCCAAAUGUUCCUGGUUUUUCUGCACCAUAUAAAACUGCCGCAUAGACAGUAGGUCAACUUUGCAUGGCCUACUGCUGCCCAGGAUCCUAAUUUGUCUUUUCCCAUCAUCUCUUGCCCCACUUGACUCAUUUCUUUACGUGAAACCAGCAUAAUCUUUUUGAAAUAAUCUCUGACCUUUUUGUUCCUCCUUGCUUAAAAUCCCCAGUGACUUUAUACUGUCACGAGGAUGAAGUCUGUAUUCCUAGCCAUAACUUUUGAGUCUGUCAGUCUCUGGUCUGUCCCUACCAUUCUGUUGACCUUGCCAUCCACUUCCAUCAAUACUAUCUCUCUGUAUCUGCACUCAAGCACCUCUGGCCUUCUUUAAGUUCUCUGAAAGUGUUUUGCUCUUUGCUCUUCCUGAAAUGCUGGAGCCACAUUUUUGUCUAAUUUUUUACUAUGGAGACUUUGCUUCUCAGUUUAAACGUCAUGUCCUGGGGAAAGUCUUCUCUUACCCCCUGGAAGAGGUCACCGCCCCUUAUAAUGCACUGUCUUGGAGAUAUGGGGAGGGGGCGCUUAUAGUGUACAUAUUUUUGUCAUAAUUUUUUGUCUCUAUGCUCCCUUUAUCCUGACUUAAGUCUAUUGACAUUUUCCAUUGUAUCUGAUUGCAGCGAAGUUGUGUAGAUAAUCUCAAAUCCAACUUGAAUAGUGGCAUGAAUAAGUAUGUAAUUAAAAAUAUACCACAGUGACAACCAUUGUGUUCAACUCAAAUUUUAGGAAGAAAUUUCUGUUGUGGGAUUUAAGGGAGGAAAGUGGAUAAGAGAUUGAGUGAUUUAC